rnacentral:rRNA from 1 species
UACAGAGGUCUCAAGCGUUGUUCGGAUUCAUUGGGCGUAAAGGGUGCGUAGGCGGCGCGGUAAGUCGGGUGUGAAAUCUUGGAGCUUAACUCCGAAACUGCAUUCGAUACUGCCGUGCUUGAGGACUGGAGAGGAGACUGGAAUUUACGGUGUAGCGGUGAAAUGCGUAGAUAUCGUAAGGAAGACCGUGGCGAAGGCGGGUCU